AGCAGCCGCCACGGUAAUACGGAGGGAGCUAGCGUUGUUCGGAAUUACUGGGCGUAAAGCGCGCGUAGGCGGUUACUCAAGUCAGAGGUGAAAGCCCGGGGCUCAACCCCGGAACUGCCUUUGAAACUAGGUGACUAGAAUCUUGGAGAGGUCAGUGGAAUUCCGAGUGUAGAGGUGAAAUUCGUAGAUAUUCGGAAGAACACCAGUGGCGAAGGCGACUGACUGGACAAGUAUUGACGCUGAGGUGCGAAAGCGUGGGGAGCAAACAGGAUUAGAUACCCCUGUAGUCCCUGUCUCUUAUAC
rnacentral:rRNA from 1 species